rnacentral:rRNA from 1 species
AACGAACGCUGGCGGCAUGCCUAACACAUGCAAGUCGAACGAGAUCUUCGGGUCUAGUGACGCACGGGUGCGUAACGCGUGGGAAUCUGCCCUUUGGUUCGGAAUAACAGUUGGAAACGACUGCUAAUACCGGAUGAUGACGAAAGUCCAAAGAUUUAUCGCCAGAGGAUGAGCCCGCGUAGGAUUAGCUAGUUGGUGGGGUAAAGGCGCACCAAGGCGACGAUCCUUAGCUGGUCUGAGGGGAUGAUCAGCCACACUGGGGCUGAGACACGGCCCAGACUCCUACGGGAGGCAGCAGUGGGGAAUAUUGGACAAUGGGCGAAAGCCUGAUCCAGCAAUGCCGCGUGAGUGAUGAAGGCCUUAGGGUUGUAAAGCUCUUUUACCCGGGAUGAUAAUGACAGUACCGGGAGAAUAAGCUCCGGCUAACUCCGUGCCAGCCGCCGCGGUAA